AUGAUGAUGUUACUGAGUCUACUGCUGACCAUCCUGGAGCUCCUGGUUCAGGAUUCAUCAGGAGACAUAAUCAUGACUCAGACUCCAGGAUCUCUGUCUGUUUCUCCAGGACAGUCUGUCUCCAUCAGGUGUAAAGCCAGUGAGCAUGUAGACAAUGAGGUAGACUGGUACCUUCAGAGACCUGGAGAAGCUAUAAAACUUCUAAUUUAUUGGACAUCAAACCGUCAGCCUGGAGUUUCUGAUCGUUUCAGUGGAAGUCAGUCUGGAACUGAUUUCACUCUGACCAUCAGCAGAGUUCAGGCUGAAGAUGCAGGAGUUUAUCACUGUCAGCAGGACUGGAGCACACCGUUCACACAGUGA